GCAGCGACGCCGCGUGAGGGAUGAAGGCCUUCGGGUUGUAAACCUCUUUCAGUAGNNNNNNNGCCGGUCUUUUGGGUUGGUGACGGUACCUGCAGAAGAAGCGCCGGCUAACUACGUGCCAGCAGCCGCGGUAAUACGUAGGGCGCAAGCGUUAUCCGGAAUUAUUGGGCGUAAAGAGCUCGUAGGCGGUUUGUCGCGUCUGCCGUGAAAGUCCGGGGCUUAACUCCGGAUCUGCGGUGGGUACGGGCAGACUAGAGUGCAGUAGGGGAGACUGGAAUUCCUGGUGUAGCGGUGAAAUGCGCAGAUAUCAGGAGGAACACCGAUGGCGAAGGCAGGUCUCUGGGCUGUAACUGACGCUGAGGAGCGAAAGCAUGGGGAGCGAACAGGAUUAGAUACCCUGGUAGUCCAUGCCGUAAACGUUGGGCACUAGGUGUGGGGGACAUUCCACGUUUUCCGCGCCGUAGCUAACGCAUUAAGUGCCCCGCCUGGGGAGUACGGCCGCAAGGCUAAAACUCAAAGGAAUUGACGGGGGCCCGCACAAGCGGCGGAGCAUGCGGAUUAAUUCGAUGCAACGCGAAGAACCUUACCAAGGCUUGACAUGAACCGGAAUGAUGCAGAGAUGUGUCAGCCACUUGUGGCCGGUUUACAGGUGGUGCAUGGUUGUCGUCAGCUCGUGUCGUGAGAUGUUGGGUUAAGUCCCGCAACGAGCGCAACCCUCGUUCCAUGUUGCCAGCGGGUUAUGCCGGGGACUCAUGGGAGACUGCCGGGGGUCAACUCGGA
rnacentral:rRNA from 1 species